UCAAAAAAACUUAAGCCCAAAACAUUCAUUUAACCCUAAUCUACAUUUGUUGACUGAAUUUUAUUUCAUUGUAGUAUGUGAUGCAGCCACGCAGUUCCAUCUUCAUCUUUCUUUCUCAAUAAUAGAACAAAUCAACCUCCUCCUUCUAACAAGAGCAGCAAAUCAAGAACUAAAUUAGAAAGCUUUCUCCUUCCACUUUGAUUUCUAUUCUAACAUUGUAAAUCCAUGGAAGAUGAAAAUAAAAUAAAGUGCCCUGUUUUUGAUGAAAAAUUACAUUGUUUUUCUUUCUUUUUUUCUAUUUCAAUUGUUAUUCACGGUCACAGGUCUGGUUUUGAGUACCAUGAAUACGAGUGAUUAUCCAAAAAAUACGGAGAUAGGCGUGGAAACUAAACAUUGGGCAAUGAUGUUGUACUUUGCUUGGGUAAAUAAAACAAAUGUGUACCCAUGCCCUUUUAUCAGCCAUACUGCUAUCACUUCACCAGCAAUACGGUUUCUAUUGAUUAUUUUCUUGAAGGGAAGAAUGGAUACCAGAUUUCUACCAUGAAGCUACCAUAUCAUAUGCGUGCAAACUCUUGAUUCAGGAAGAUUGAAUAUUAUUCCACGCUCACCUAGAAGAGCCUAAAUUAAUAGAAUUAAUGCAACUCUUCAGUGAAUACAAAGCUUCCACCAUGUUAGCCUAAAUGCAGCAGCACAGCACAGGUACAUCAUACAUGAAACAAAUGAUUUAAGUCAAUGUUGUGUUUGUCUCUUGUUCAUGUUACCAUCAUACAUUGAUUAUUUUCUUCUGUUAUAAUUAUAUUCCCUAAUUAAUACUAUGUGAUGUUUAGGGAUUUGAAAAAUCAUGUUGAACGCAUUCAUAAACAAAGGAGUCUUUAGAAACAUAUAGACACAUUGAACACAUUAUAUGCUUGUUACAACACAAUGAAUAAAGAAUUGUGGUGGUUUGUAGUCCUAAACAACAUACCGGGUGUGCACUGUAUGAAGUAACAAAAUGAUUCAUUUUCCUAGAAAGUAAAAAAGUCAUUGAACGUAAUUAAAAAAGAUAAACGCUAAUACGUGUCCUCAAAGUCAAUGUUUAUAAUUUAAUGGAGAAGUGUUGUCUAAUUUGAUAAAUUUCUCUUAUUUAAUUGUAAUUGUCCGCAACUUAAAGUAUGGUUGGUUGAUUUUAACACGGUUACAACGACGAAGAUAAUUAACCAUCAUUAUGUUGUCAACGUAACCGAAAGUGAUUCAAUUACGUCUUAAACAAAGGUGAUACUAUCAUAUCUGAAGGUGAUUCAUUUACCUUCGUAAACCAAGGUGAUACAAGGUGGUCUAUCGAUAGAUGUAUCACAAUUUGUAUUCAAAGGUGAUCCAGUCAGAGAACACAAGAAUGUGAAUCUAUAAUAGUUGUCUAAUUCAAAUGUUAUGCAAUCACCGUUCUAAACCAAGGUCAUCCAAUCGUAAACGAGGGUGUUCCUGAGUUGAGUUCUUUAUAAUGUAUUUAUAUUUAAUUUUCAUUAUGAGCCUAAUAAGUAGCCUAUGUGAAUGAACCAUUUGCAGAUAAAAUAGAAAUAUAUAUUGAACAACUGUUUCUUCUAGACUUACGUAUAACUGUGAUUUAUGUUAUCCUCGCUAUGUUCUUGUUCUAUUUUAUGGACAGUUUUACCUGCGAAGUGCAACCUAGUUUAUUAGUUACCACAAUUUUAUUAUAUUGUUAUUUGGCCAACUAAUUUGAGUUGUUAGUGAGAACUUUCUAA